UGCCUGUUAUACACAUGCUGCAAACAACUCAAUAUAUAAACUUGAAAUAUGAAAAAUUAUUUAAAAAAUAAUUCUAAAUUAGUGAAAUGGCAGAUUUUCCUGAUUUACAGACAUGCAUAUUUUUCAGAUGACUUAUUAGGAUCCAUAUUUAUACAGCCAAUCCUAAUUUAGUAAAAUUAAUAAUUUAUUAUGGUGAGUUUUUAAAAAUUUAUCUUAUUGAAAAAUGAACUAUACAUCAUUUUCUCUUGAAUAUACCUAAUCUGUUGUUCUACUUGAAGCACUAAACACAUUAGCAAUAAUUAAAAAUAACAAACUUUUGGAGCUGGACCGCAGAGGGGCUGCACCUGGCCUUAUGGGCUGAGAAGAAAGCCAAGGUAAUUGCAGUAAUGAAUGCUGUGGAAGAGAACCAGGGGUCUGGGGAGUCUCAGAAGGUGGAGGAGGCCAGCCCUCCCGCUGUGCAGCAGCCCACUGACCCCUCGUCCCCCACGGUGGCCACCACGCCUGAACCCGUGGGGGCUGAUGCUGGCGACAAGAAUGCCACCAAAGCAGCCGACGACGAACCGGAGUACGAGGACAGCCGGGGCUUUGGCACUGGGGAGCUGGUGUGGGGGAAACUGUGGGGCUUCUCCUGGUGGCCAGGCCACAUUGUGUCUUGGUGGAUGACGGGCCCGAGCCAAGCAGCUGAAGGCACCCGCUGGGUCAUGUGGUUCGGAGAUGGCAAGUUCUCAGUGGUGUGUGUGGAGAAGCCGAUGCCACUGAGCUCGUUUUGCAGCGCGUUCCACCAGGCCACCUACAACAAGCAGCCCAUGUACUGCAAAGCCAUCUACAAAGUCCUGCAGGUGGCCAGCAGCCGCUCCGGGAAGCUGUUCCCAGCGUGCCAUGACAGCGACGAGAGUGACACUGCCAAGGCCGUGGAGGUGCAGAACAAGCAAAUGAUUGAAUGGGCCCUCGGGGGGGGUUCCAGUCCUCCGGCCCCAAGGGCCUGGAGCCACCAGAAGAGGAGAAGAAUCCCUACAAAGAAGUUUACACAGACAUGUGGGUUGAACCUGAGGCAGCUGCCUAUGCACCACCCCCACCAGCCAAAAAGCCCCGAAAGAGCACAACAGAGAAGCCCAAGGUCAAGGAGAUUAUCGAUGAACUCACAAGAGAGCGGCUGGUGUACGAGGUGCGGCAGAAGUGCCGGAAUAUCGAAGAUAUUUGCAUUUCUUGUGGGAGCCUCAACGUCACCCUGGAACACCCUCUCUUCAUUGGAGGAAUGUGCCAAAACUGCAAGAACUGCUUCCUGGAGUGUGCAUACCAGUAUGACGACGAUGGCUAUCAGUCCUACUGCACCAGCUGCUGUGGGGGGCGUGAGGUGCCCAUGUGCGGGAACAACAACUGCUGCAGGUGCUUUUGCGUGGAGUGUGUGGACCUCUUGGUGGGGCCAGGGGCUGCCCAGGCGGCCAUUAAGGAAGACCCCUGGAACUGCUACAUAUGUGGGCACAAGGGUACCUAUGGGCUGCUGCGGCGGCGGGACAACUGGCCCUCUAGGCUCCAGAUGUUCUUCGCCAAUAACCACAACCAGGAAUUUGACCCUCCGAAGGUUUAUCCACCUGUCCCAGCCGAGAAGAGGAAGCCUAUCCGGGUGCUGUCUCUCUUUGACGGAAUUGCUACAGGGCUCCUGGUGCUGAAGGACCUGGGCAUCCAGGUGGACCGCUACAUUGCCUCGGAGGUGUGCGAGGACUCCAUCACGGUGGGCAUGGUGCGACACCAGGGGAAGAUCAUGUACGUCGGGGAUGUCCGCAGCGUCACACAGAAGCAUAUCUAGGAGUGGGGCCCAUUCGAUCUGGUGAUUGGGGGCAGUCCCUGCAACGAUCUCUCCAUCGUCAACCCUGCCCACAAGGGACUCUACAAGGGCACUGGCCAGCUCUUCUUUGAGUUCUACCGCCUCCUGCAUGAUGCGUGGCCCAAGGAGGGAGAUGAUCGCCCCUUCUUCUAGCUCUUUGAGAAUGUGGUGGCCAUGGGCGUUAGUGACAAGAGGGACAUCGCGAGAUUUCUCGAGUCCAACCCUGUGAUGAUUGAUACCAAAGAAAUGUCAGCUGCACACAGGGCCCGCUACUUUUGGGGUAACCUUCCCGGUAUGAACAGGCCAUUGGCAUCCACUGUGAAUGAUAAGCUGGAGCUGCAGGAGUGUCUGGAGCACGGCAGGAUAGCCAAGUUCAGCAAAGUAAGGACCAUUACUACUAGGUCGAACUCCAUAAAGCAGGGCAAAGACCAGCAUUUCCCCGUCUUCAUGAACGAGAAAGAGGACAUCUUAUGGUGCACUGAAAUGGAAAGGGUGUUUGGCUUCCCCGUCCACUAUACCGACGUCUCCAACAUGAGUCGCUUGGCCAGGCAGAGACUUCUGGGCCGGUCGUGGAGCGUGCCAGUCAUCCGCCACCUCUUCGCUCCGCUGAAGGAAUAUUUUGCUUGUGUGUAAGGGACAUGGGGGCAAACUGAGGUAGUGACACAAAGUUAAACAAACAAAAAAAACACAAAACAUAAUAAAACACCAAGAACGUGAGGAUGGAGAGAAGUAUCAGCACCCAGAAGAGAAAAAGAAAUUUAAAACAAAAACCACAGAGGCAGAAAUACCGGAGGGUCAUGCCUUGCGAAAAGGGUUGGACAUCCUCUCCUGAUUUUUCAAUGUUAAUCUUCAGUCCUAUUUAAAAACAAAACCAAGCCCCGCCCCCUUUUAUUUGGUCAGACCUUUUGUUUUCUACUCUUUUCAGAGGGGUUUUCUGUUUGUUUGGGUUUUUGUUUCUUGCUGUGACUGAAACAAGAGGGUUAUUGCAGCAAAAAUCAGUAAAAAAAAAUAGUAACAAUACCUUGCAAGAGGAAAGAUGGGAGAGAGGAAAAAAGAAAAGAAAAUUCUAUAGAAAUCUAUCUAUAUAUUGGGUAUUCUUUUUUUUUUUUUUUACUAUAUAUCUUUUUUUGUUGUCUCUAGCCUGAUCAGAUAGGAGCACAAGCAGGAGGCAGAAACAGAGAGACACUUAGGUGGCAGAAUUCCCUCCCAGCCACCGAGCUGUCUUGCCAGCACCAUUCCUGGUCAUGCAGAACAGAACCCAGCUAGCAGCAGGGUGACAAGAACACCACAUACUACACUUUUCUACAGUAUUUCAGGUGCCUACCACACAGGAAACCUUGAAGAAAAUCAGUUUCUAGAAGCCGCUGUUACCUCUUGUUUACAGUUUAUAUAUAUAUGAUAGAUAUGAGAUAUAUAUAUAAAAGGUACUGUUAACUACUGUA